rnacentral:rRNA from 1 species
GCUAUUUAAUUGAUAGCUUGUAUGAAUGGUUUGAUGAAAAAUAUUCUUUCUUUAUUUUAUAUAUUUGAAUUUAAUUUUUUAGUUAAAAAGCUAAAAUUGAAUUAUUAGACGAUAAGACCCUAUAGAACUUUAUUAUUUAUAAAUUAAAUUAAUUUGGAGUUAUUAUUUUAUUUGAUUUAAAAUAUAAUUUGGUUGGGGUGACUAUUAGAUUAAAUUAACUCUAAUGUUUAUAUUCAUAAAUUAAUGUUUUUUUGAUCCUAUUUUUUAGAUUACUAGAUUAAGUUACCUUAGGGAUAACAGCGUAAUUUUAUUGGAGAGUUCAUAUCAAUAAUAAAGUUUGCGACCUCGAUGUUGGAUUAAAAUUAGUUUUAAGUGCAGAAGCUUAAAUAUCUGGGUCUGUUCGACCUUUAAUUUUUUACA